rnacentral:rRNA from 1 species
UACGUAGGGUGCGAGCGUUGUCCGGAAUUAUUGGGCGUAAAGGGCUCGUAGGCGGUCUGUCACGUCGGGAGUGAAAACUCAGGGCUUAACCCUGAGCCUGCUUCCGAUACGGGCAGACUAGAGGUAUGCAGGGGAGAACGGAAUUCCUGGUGUAGCGGUGAAAUGCGCAGAUAUCAGGAGGAACACCGAUGGCGAAGGCAGCUUGCUGGGACGGUACUGACGCUGAGACGCGAAAGCGUGGGGAGCAAACAGG